GCGUUCACUGUAUUAAAUACUUGUUUAUAGAACAUGGCAGAUUACAUGAUCAGAGCUGCUGUAGAAGACGAUUGUGAACAAAUCUACAAUAACACGAAGGAUCUGGCCAUAUUUCUCAACCCAGCAUAUCCGUCGAAAUUAACCUCUGACACUUUCAGAGAAGAUGGUUUUGGUACAAAUCCUUUAUUUCGAUGUCAUGUGGCUGAGAUAGUUGAUUCGGGGGAGAUAAUUGGCCAUACCUUGUUUUUUCCGUCCUAUAGUUCAGUAACAGGCAAGUGUAUGUAUAUGGAAGAUUUAUAUGUUUCUGAGCAUGCGCGAGGUAGAGGUAUUGGAACAGCUCUCUUCCAACGAUUAGCUCAGUUAAGUUUGAAGGAGGGAUGUCAGAAUCUACUAUGGCAAACUUUAGACUCGAAUAAAACAGGUAUCAAAUUUUAUAAGCGUCACGGUGCUGUUAAUUCCACGGAGACAGAAAACAGCCAUAGUUUUAGGUUGGACCUCGAUCAAAUGAAGAAAUUGGCAGAGACAUAAUAAUGAAAGCAUUUUAAUUAAAGAACUACUUCUAGUAGAUUAUAUUUUCGUAAUACAUGUAAUAUGAAUAAAUGUUUCGAUUAUAAUAUGACCCCUACGCGCACGCGAAUUAUUGAAAUGAAAUUGAACCAUAUCUUAGUCCGGAAAUGACCUAGUUUGUGUCGAGUACCCUCUCUCUCCCUCUCUCUCUCUCUCUCUCUCUCUCUCUCUCUCUCUCAUAUUUUACGGUCAUCUUCAACAUGUCUGGGCUAUUACAUGAUCGAUCACCUGCUUUUAUUUAUAGUUAAAUCCCGGUCGAAUUGCUAGUACAUAUAUCGCUAUUACUCUAAUGCUUUUUCAUAUUUUACAAAGUUGGGAGGUGAUUGUCUUCAGGGGUGUGUGUGUGGGGGGGGGAUAUCUCAACUACUUACUAUGCUACAAAUAGAUAGGGUAAGGGCAAAGAUAAGGGGGCGAGACACCCUGCGUUGCUACCAACCUGAUUUAAUUUGCUCAGCUACAUUUAUAGAAUGACCCCAUUAAACUUUCAUUAUGACUUAAAAUAUAAGAAGAGAACUAGAACUACUAUGCAGUAAUGACGAGUUUCACCGGUGCCAAAUUACCCUUGAACUGACGUCAAACCCCAUACCAAUGGAGCCAUGGAACAGAUUUCCACACGCGCUUUGCACUUAUGUUAUAAAAUAACAUAGAUUUUUCGCAUUCGGUGCCCCGAAGUUAUGGAAUUCAAUAUCAAACGAAACCAAAAGCGCAAAUCCUAUUAAAGGUUUUAAAAAGUAAUCAAAUAUACAACUGAUUGAAUACGGUUCUAGCGGUGUUUGUGUCAGACUUUUACCAUGUGCACUAAAUAAUGUUCUCCGUUUUUUGUUUAUGUCUUUUUGUAAGGAUUAAUGUGUUGUGAUUGUUGUAAUUUUAUAUUAGUUGUACUUAUGUAAAGCGCCCGAGAGCAGCUCGCUGAGUUGAAUUGUUGGCGCUAUAUAAAUCAAUUAUUAUUAUUAUUAAUAUUAUUAUUAAAUAAACUGCAAUCAACAAAGACUCGACACAGUGACACCACAUCCAUUAUCAACAAAAUAUUUAAAUUUGAUUAACACUUUGCGUUUCCUUUGAAUGAAAGAAAAAAAUGAUUAAAACUUAAACACAAUUAACUCUUUAUAAAUCCUUAAUACAAAGCGAAAAAUCAUAAAAAGCGAUCUGGAAGAUAUUAGAAACA